rnacentral:ncRNA from 1 species
UUCUUCGGGGCAGGGUGAAAUUCCCUACCGGCGGUAAAGUCCGCGACCUGCAUUGCAGUUGAAUCGGUGCAAUUCCGAUACCGACAGUAAAGUCUGGAUGGUAGAAGAA